rnacentral:rRNA from 1 species
UUCCUACGGGGGGAGCAGCAGUAGGGAAUCUUCCGCAAUGGACGAAAGUCUGACGGAGCAACGCCGCGUGAGUGAUGAAGGUUUUCGGAUCGUAAAGCUCUGUUGUUAGGGAAGAACAAGUGCCGUUCAAAUAGGGCGGCACCUUGACGGUACCUAACCAGAAAGCCACGGCUAACUACGUGCCAGCAGCCGCGGUAAUACGUAGGUGGCAAGCGUUGUCCGGAAUUAUUGGGCGUAAAGGGCUCGCAGGCGGUUUCUUAAGUCUGAUGUGAAAGCCCCCGGCUCAACCGGGGAGGGUCAUUGGAAACUGGGGAACUUGAGUGCAGAAGAGGAGAGUGGAAUUCCACGUGUAGCGGUGAAAUGCGUAGAGAUGUGGAGGAACACCAGUGGCGAAGGCGACUCUCUGGUCUGUAACUGACGCNUGAGGAGCGAAAGCGUGGGGAGCGAACAGGAUUAGAUAGGUAGUCCA